rnacentral:rRNA from 1 species
GGAUUAGAUACCCUGGUAGUCCACGCCGUAAACGAUGAGUGCUAGAUGUCGGGCAGCAUGCUGUCCGGUGUCGCAGCUAACGCAUUAAGCACUCCGCCUGGGGAGUACGGCCGCAAGGUUAAAACUCAAAGGAAUUGACGGGGGCCCGCACAAGCGGUGGAGCAUGUGGUUUAAUUCGAUGCAACGCGCAGAACCUUACCAGCCCUUGACAUCCCGAUCGCGAGGACCGGAGACGGACCUUUUCAGUUCGGCUGGAUCGGAGACAGGUGCUGCAUGGCUGUCGUCAGCUCGUGCCG